rnacentral:lncRNA from 1 species
UUGACUGUGCUUCAUCACUUGGCUAUAAUUGCAAUUAAGUUUGCUCAGAAAAUUGCGACUUAGAUUGUACAGAUGAUUGUACCGAGUUUUCAAUUACGAUAUCUUUAUCUGGUAUUCUUGUACUUGAGAUUAAUGAUAACUGUUUACAAAAUGAUGGAUAUAUUGAAAUAUGGAAUGCAACGCUUCACAGAAUGGGAAAACAGGAAAGGCAAUUACGAUAUCUUUAUCUGGUAUUCUUGUACUUGAGAUUAAUGAUAACUGUUUACAAAAUGAUGGAUAUAUUGAAAUAUGGAAUGCAACGCUUCACAGAAUGGGAAAACAGGAAAGGCAAAGCCAGAAGCAUAGGGACAGUGAACAUAAAGACAUAACAAGAAAAUAAAGACAUGGAUAUUCAC